GGAAGCACAAAUCGUCUUAUAUUUUCUCAUCCUUAUCUUUUGUUCCUCAAACCCGGUUGCCGCCCUUCUCCUCCAAUACUGUUCAUUUGCGUUCUUAUUAAUUUUUUUUUCCGUUCUUCUAACCCUAGAACCAACCAGCGGAGGUACCUUGUCUUCUUUUCAUCCGGUAGACCGUUGGGACAGAAGGUAGUCACGAGCAGCAACAACAGCAGGCAAAUGGCGGCAAUAAGUGGCGUUGAGUGGAAGUGGGUGGCUCCGCUGCUCCCUUCCUUGCAUCCGUCUGUCAAGAAUGGUAAAUCCAGAUGAGGUUGAAAUUUCACGUGGUGGAAUUUUGGAAGUCAUCACCACUCUAUAUGCUAAAAUUUCACCGUUCUUUGAAAAAGAAACCCCUGAAGCGUCCGCGAAUAACCAUGAAGACCAACAAGUCGUCGGUUUCUUCCAAUUUUGUUGUCUUUGGAGUUUAGUUAUUUGCUUUGAAAUUGGUUUAACAAAUUUGAAGAAAUUUGUUUUGGGUUAUCUUUAAUUAACUCUAUCUAUUGGAUUUCCAUCUGAAAUUGGUACUAAGAUUAAAUUGUUUGUUUGUAUUGAUUCUCAUGAUUUCAAUUUUUUUUUGGUUCUUCAAUGAUACAGAGGUUAGCUGAUAUGAAAAUGUUAGCAUAUAUUUUUUUUGGGUUAUCUUUAAUUAGGUGUGUCAAUUGGAUUUCCAUAUGAAAUUGGUACUAAGAUUAAAUUGUUUAUUUGUAUUGAUUCUCAUGAUUUCAAUUUUUUUUUUUGUUCUUCAAGGAUACAGGAUACAGAGGUUAGCUGAUAUGAAAAGGUUAGCAUAUAUGAAUCAAACGGUAAAACUUGCAAAAAUUGGAUUGUUUAUUUCUCUUUUAAAUAAUUUGCAAAAAUAGCUCAUUGUUAUACUGUGGAGUCCAUUCAGAUCAUUGUCUGUUGAAUUGGAGGCUUUUAUACUUAUAAAGCUUUUCGUCUCAAAUAGAAUUCGCUAUUUAGAAAAUGUAGCAGCAAAACAGCUCCAGUGAGAUUUUUUUUUUAGUUUUUUCGGAUAAGAAAGUAAAAAUAAAAUUCCAUUGUAUCAUUUCAUCAAACACUUGGCUUUUAAUUUUUUUUAUAGCAGCCUAACAAUGGGAAGAAAGAUUACAAGUUUGGGUUUAGGUUCAUUGUACAUUCUUAUAAUUAUAUAUUAAAAAUGAUUUUUAAUUUUUUUUAUUGAUUUAUUUAUGUAUUUUAGAUGCUUAAUUAUUUGUCGAUUUCUAUGGAUGAUGAUACUUCGUAGGCUUUAAUACUGGCUGCACUCUCUGAUUCG
rnacentral:lncRNA from 1 species